GCCCCUGUAGCUCAGCGGAGCAGAGCAGCGGCCUUCUAAGCCGUGGGUCGGGGGUUCGAAUCCCUCCAGGGGCG
rnacentral:tRNA from 1 species